UACGGGGGGGGCAAGCGUUGUUCGGAAUUACUGGGCGUAAAGGGCUCGUAGGUGGCCAACUAAGUCAGACGUGAAAUCCCUCGGCUUAACCGGGGAACUGCGUCUGAUACUGGAUGGCUUGAGUAUGGGAGAGGGAUGCGGAAUUCCAGGUGUAGCGGUGAAAUGCGUAGAUAUCUGGAGGAACACCGGUGGCGAAGGCGGCAUCCUGGACCAUUACUGACGCUGAGGCACGAAAGCGUGGGUAGCAAACAGG
rnacentral:rRNA from 1 species